GACAGAGGGUGCAAGCGUUGUUCGGAAUCAUUGGGCGUAAAGGGCGCGUAGGCGGUCUUAUAAGUCAGGUGUGAAAGCCCAGGGCUCAACCCUGGAAGUGCACUUGAUACUGCAAGACUUGAAUCUCAUAGAGGGUGGUGGAAUUCCCAGUGUAGAGGUGAAAUUCGUAGAUAUUGGGAGGAACACCAGUGGCGAAGGCGGCCACCUGGAUGAAGAUUGACGCUGAGGCGCGAAAGCGUGGGUAGCAAACAGG
rnacentral:rRNA from 1 species